rnacentral:lncRNA from 1 species
UUAUUCCAAGAAUAUCUUGGUAAUUUUGAGCUCCACAUCCCGGUUAUUAAGUAUCAUAUAUAACUGUCUACAGAGAGAGAGAGAGAGAGAGAGAGAGAGAGAGAGAGAGAGAGAGAGAGAGAGAGAGAGAGAGAGAGAGAGAGAGAGACAGACAGACAGACAGACAGAGAGAGACAGAGAGAGACAGAGACUGCACUGUUUCCUUUCUCUUCUGUUUUCCUGUUGUUGGCAUCUUGAUCUGAUGUCGUCUCUCCACCUGCCUGUCAGUCUGUAUGUCUGUAUUUCUUCUUCCUUUACUUGCUGUUCAUUGUGACUGUGAUGGAUUUCAGGACUGUUGUGACCAUCUUAACUCUUUUACUCAUGACUGCUGAAUCAGAACAAACAACACUUGGGCCAAACAUCACAGAGACUACCUUCCCUACACAGACUCACAGCACCGGCAGGGACUGGGUCACCCCCAAUACUACUGCCACUGCUGGCAUCACCUCCAAUCCCAGCAGCUCUGCACCUGCCAUGGGCCUCCUCAUAAUCAGAUGGACGAGUGAAUGUGAAGGAGACGUUAACCUGAUCCUCUAUCAUCGCCCUGAUUCCUCCUCUCCUGUCUGUUAUGGCAGUGAAACCAACAUCAUGAUUAUUUUAAGAAAUGUGUGUGAAAAUCAUGAAGGUUGUACAGAAACAUCGAGCUGGGACAGAGGCAGAGAACAGCUGGAUGGCUAUGACAUCACAGAGAGGGGAGCAAAGGAGAGGAGAUGUGAGAUACUGAGGGUCCGAUGCACAGUUGCGGGAGAUGUACAGGGGCAGCUUCAUGCCUACAAAGUGGUGACAGCUUUGGUCUGCUGCGUGCUGCUGGUCCUGUUACUGAUCCGCUUCACCAGACCCACCGUCAAAGCCCUGCAGAAGAGACUAUCAGAAAGGAGGCAGAAUCGCUGGAUUGGACCUACACAGAGUCACAGUGGUGAGUCUCACACACUCACAGAGGCUACUGAGGGAAAUAAUAAUAUGUACAUGUACCAAAACACACACACAUAUACACACACACACACACACACACACACACACACACACACACACACACACACACACACACACACACACACUCCUAAAGGAUACGUGUGGUGCUUUAAACCUUUCCUUACAGUCAGCAUUGUAUUGUGUGUGUAUCCAAAGCCUGAUAUAUAUUAUUUUUCUGUGCCUAGAGCUCCACUGUGGUCCAUAAACUAUUAAAAACACUUACAUGAGCCAUCACUGUUGCACUGGGUGACAUGUUCUUAUAUUACCAUGAAGACACACUGACUUUGACACACUACCAUGAAGACACACUGACUUUGACUCACAGUCCUGCUGCCACAAAUACUCAACGAAUGUGGAAAAACACAAUUUUCUCCUUUUUUUGUAUUAAAAACUACAGUGAGCAGCUGUUUUAGGAAAUGUUUUCAGGAAUCAAUUGGGAUUGGAGCUGAGAUCCACAGAAAUAGUAGUGAUGUCAGAAAGUAUUGAGAGAUGGAUACACAUUGUUGGUUUGGGUCUGCACAUGAGAUAUGUUCACAAUAAGAACAUUAUAGAAUAGUUUGUCUCUCAUCUGUUUAUGUAUCUGUUUCAGUGUCUUACCAUCGCGGAAAAACUGCAGUUAAAAUCAAUGACGAAGAGAAGAGACUUUCCUACCCUGGUAACACAUGCGCGCGCGCACACACACACACACACACACGCACACACGCACACACUUAUAAAAAAAUGUCAAACCAACCAUACAGUCAUAUAUUAGCUGACUUUAAUCUGACUCUCCAUAUGUGUUGUCAAAUCAGCUCUGGAGCGACUGGCAGUCAGUGAAAGCAGAGAGCCUUCAUCUAACAGGAACAGUGAUUACAACUUCUGACAUGCCUCUUCUUCUUGCAUAGUCAUCAUCAUCAUCAUCAUCAUCAUCAUCAUCAUCAUCAUCAUCAUCAUCAUCAUUUUAUAUGUGGGCUAAACAUAUGUUCAUAUUUGACUAUUUCCAAAGUGUAUCUUUGACAAUAUAUCACCCAUGUUAGGUUGAGGAAUUACUUAUAAAGACAUAAUUCAAGAUCAGGUGAAAUUGAUAAUUCACUUUUGAUAUACAUGCAUUUGCUGCAUCACAUACAAAAACUUCUGCUUUAAAAAAUAGUCAGUUUUUCCAACCAUCAAUGUGUGGUAUUGCAUCUAAACUCAAUUUAGCAGCCUUUUUUAUAAAUGAAAAUAGAAAUGUGUUUUUUUACUUUUAGCUAGGCUACCAGUUUUGUCUUAGUGCUAAGCUAGACAAAACACAUUUCAAUAAAACAGAGUAACUCACCACGUUUCCAAAAUGUUGAUUGGAUUGUAUUGAUCGGAAAAACAUUCAUGAAAAAACUCUGAGAAUAUUGAUUCAAUAACAUAUAAUUCACUGACAUUGUGACAUACGUUUUGUGUCUUUUGUUGACUGUUUGUGAUUUUUGAUUAAUAUUGUGAAGUUUUUGUUUUCAGUAAAAUUAUAUAAAUUG